rnacentral:rRNA from 1 species
ACAACAUGCAAGUCGAACGGAAUUAAGGGGCUUGCUCCUUAAUUUAGUGGCGCACGGGUGAGUAACGCGUAGAUAAUCUGCCUGAUGAUCUGGGAUAACACUUCGAAAGAGGUGCUAAUACCGAAUAAGCCCACGGAGUCUUUGGAUUCUGCGGGAAAAUGGGGGGACCUUCGGGCCUUCUGUCAUCAGAUGAGUCUGCGUACCAUUAGCUAGUUGGUAGGGUAAUGGCCUACCAAUGCUACUAUGGUUAGCUGGUCUGAGAGGAUGAUCAGUCACACUGGAACUGAGACACGGUCCAGACUCCUACGGGAGGCCGCAGUGGGGAAUUUUGCGCAAUGGGCGAAAGCCUGACGCACCAACGCCGCGUGAGUGAUGAAGGCUUUCGGGUCGUAAAGCUCUGUCGAGGGGAAAGAAGUGUAUUCUGGUUAAUACCCAUGAUACUUGACGGUACCUCUUAAGGAAGCACCGGCUAACUCCGUGCCAGCAGCCGCGGU